GAUUGAACGCUGGCGGCAGGCCUAACUGGCACAUGCAAGUCGGACGGUAGCACAGAGGAGCUCCUCGGGUGACGAGUGGCGGACGGGUGAGUAAUGUCUGGGGAUCUGCCCGAUAGAGGGGGAUAACCACUGGAAACGGUGGCUAAUACCGCAUAACGUCGCAAGACCAAAGAGGGGGACCUUCGGGUCUCUCACUAUCGGUGAUGAACCCAGAUGGGAUUAGCUAGUAGGCGGGGUAACCCCACCUAGGCGACGAUCCCUAGCUGGUCUGAGAGGAUGACCAGCCACACUGGAACUGAGACACGGUCCAGACUCCUACGGGAGGCAGCAGUGGGGAAUAUUGCACAAUGGGCGCAAGCCUGAUGCAGCCAUGCCGCGUGUAUGAAGAAGGCCUUCGGGUUGUAAAGUACUUUCAGCGGGGAGGAAGGCGGUGAGGUUAAUAACCUCGCCGAUUGACGUUACCCGCAGAAGAAGCACCGGCUAACUCCGUGCCAGCAGCCGCGGUAAUACGGAGGGAAUGCAAGCGUUAAUCGGAAUUACGGCGUAAAGCGCACGCAGGCGGUCUGUUAAGCCAGAUGUGAAAUCCCCGGGCUUAACCUGGGAACUGCAUUUGAAACUGGCAGGCUUGAGUCUCGUAGGGGGGGGGUAGAAUUCCAGGUGUAGCGGUGAAAUGCGUAGAGAUCUGGAGGAAUACCGGUGGCGAAGGCGGCCCCCUGGACGAAGACUGACGCUCAGGUGCGAAGCGUGGGGAGCAAAC
rnacentral:rRNA from 1 species